UACGGGGGGGGGCAAGCGUUGUUCGGAAUUACUGGGCGUAAAGGGCUCGUAGGCGGCCAACUAAGUCAGACGUGAAAUCCCUCGGCUUAACCGGGGAACUGCGUCUGAUACUGGAUGGCUUGAGUUUGGGAGAGGGAUGCGGAAUUCCAGGUGUAGCGGUGAAAUGCGUAGAUAUCUGGAGGAACACCGGUGGCGAAGGCGGCAUCCUGGACCGGCAUUGACGCUGAGGCGCGAAAGCUAGGGGAGCAAACGGG
rnacentral:rRNA from 1 species